AUGGCAAAAGCUAUACCAAAAAUUGGUUCACGUAAGAAAGUGCGUAUUGGUUUACGUAGGAAUGCACGUUUUAGUUUAAGGAAGAAUGCACAUAGAAUAACAAAAGGGGUUAUUCAUCUUCAAGCUAGUUUCAACAAUACCAUUAUAACUGUUACAGACCCACAAGGUCGGGUGGUUUUUUGGUCCUUGGCCGGUACUUGUGGAUUCAAAAGCUAUCCAUUGCAAGCAAUCAUCAGAGGGCGUCAUCGCUCACCCCUAGCUUCCCUGAAGCAAAAUGGAGUAAGCCAGACCCUCAAUUUAUUAAAUUGA
rnacentral:rRNA from 1 species